ensembl:lncRNA
GAGGCAGGCUUCAUCGGCCUCCUCAGCGGCCUCCCUAAGGAGCUUCAGCAGCUCUUUCCUGUCGGCACACAGUGGGACACUCAGACUUCAGGUGGGAGAGAUUCUGGCGUUCUGUGGGAGAUCACGGAAGAUGAAUACAUCAGUCGUGAAGGAAUAGAAAUGAAUUCCAGCCACAGGAAGGGAAACAAGAGUGAUACCAAGGAAGAAGUGAAAGACACAAGUGUAACCGGAGUCCUGAACCCCACAACUUGUCUCCGUUUGGGGGACGUUAUACUCUUCACUGUGGAUACACGUCUCUAUCCUCAGUAUGAUCUUGACAACUUGUACAACACAAACAGAGACUUCGACUGGGGCGCAUUCAGACAGCUGAAGGAAGAGCUGACCCUGUCUUGGACUCCUCCUAGUUUCUUUGCAGUGGUCUUUAGCCAGCCCGGAGUGCUGAACAACAAACACAAUUCUGUAAAGGAUUGAGAUAAAUUAGACAGGAGUGCGUAUCCAAUCACCAAUAUAGUAUGUGAGGGUGAUGCCUGCAGGCGGCCAGUGUUAUGAGCCCAGCCCCUUCUUCCCCACCAUCCCUCGACACGUGACCAGGGUGGGAAUCAGUAGGAGACGCAACCUGCUGCUGCGGCCGGACUGGCUGGUGACCGGAGGACUACUAUUUGGAGCUGUGAUCAUCCUGUGUAUUUGUGUUACACUGCUGAUCCUGUUUCGUGAAUAUGGAUGGCCUGAGAAGCAGCCAAUCACAGCCCGGUAUCGUUUGUCACAGCUGUCCUACCAAAUGGACGACUACUCGUCAAAAGGAUCGAGGGUGAUGUCACUGAGGAAGAUCCACCGAAACCAUCAAGCUCAAAUGACACAAGACUCCAUUCCGCC